CCUACGGGUGGCUGCAGUAGGGAAUUUUCGUCAAUGGGCGCAAGCCUGAACGAGCGAUGCCGCGUGAGUGAAGAAGGCCUUCGGGUCUUAAAGCUCUGUUGCGGGGGAAAAAAGGCAGCAUCAGGAAAUGGGUGCUGACUGCUGGUGCCCCGCCAGAAAGUCACGGCUAACUACGGCCCAGCAGCCGCGGUAAUACGUAGGUGGCGAGCGUUAUCCGGGAUGAUUGGGCGUAAAGGGUGCGCAGGCGGUCCUGCAAGUCUGGAGUGAAACGCAUGGGCUCAACUCAUGCAUGGCUUUGGAAACUGGAUGACUGGAGAGCAGGAGAGGGCGGUGGAACUCCAGGUGUAGCGGUGAAAUGCGUAGAUAUAUGGCAGAACACCAGUGGCGAAGGCGGCCGCCUGGCCUGUUGCUGACGCUGAGGCACGAAAGCGUGGGGAGCAAAUAGGAUUAGAUACCCGUGUAGUC
rnacentral:rRNA from 1 species